UACGUAGGGGGCAAGCGUUGUCCGGAUUUAUUGGGCGUAAAGAGCGUGUAGGCGGUUAGGUAGGUCCGUUGUGAAAACUCGAGGCUCAACCUCGAGACGCCGAUGGAAACCAUCUGACUAGAGUCCGGAAGAGGAGAGUGGAAUUCCUGGUGUAGCGGUGAAAUGCGCAGAUAUCAGGAAGAACACCGAUGGCGAAGGCAGCUCGCUGGGACGGUACUGACGCUGAGACGCGAAAGCGUGGGGAGCAAACAGG
rnacentral:rRNA from 1 species